UUAAGUUUGCUUCCGUGUGGGUUAUGGUUAGGGUUGCUGUGCCUGGACAUAGCUCUAAGAAAGGUUGCGUCUACCCUAAAUAUUGACUCAUUUAAUGUUCAACGCGUCGUGUAUGCUAGUGACCAAAAACAAACAUUCUGCGGCUUUGCAGGUGCUUGCAUACCACGCUAAAGUCCACGUGCGUCCGUCAGAGCUUUGACAAGAGGGAUUUUUCAUUCAAAGUACUUUAUACUGUUUUGACAAUAAAACUUAAUAUGACCGCAUUCAACUCAACAUUUUUGGAAAACUUUGAGGAGCGCAGUGGCACGAGAAGGACGAGUGGACUGGUUAUAUUCACAUUAUACUUUUAGAUGAACGAGCAGAGACGUUUGAGGAAGAGGGGGACUUCGCUUGGACAGAGCUCUCAGAAUGCUUCAUACAGUGCAAAUGGAGGACUUCGCGAGGACACAGCUCACAGAGACUCAUACAGAGUUCAUUGAUGCCCAAGACAGUCCAGUGGUUAAGGAUAUCAACCGCCAAAAUCCUGC